GUGGUAAUGCCGGAUGCUCCGGUUGGAUGCAUGUCCUUCCGGGAAAGGUUCCAUCGGUAUGGGAUGGGGUCGCGUCCUAUCAGCUUGAUGGCGGGGUAACGGCCCACCAUGGCUUCGACGGGUAGCCGGCCUGAGAGGGCGACCGGCCACAUUGGGACUGAGAUACGGCCCAGACUCCUACGGGAGGCAGCAGUGGGGAAUAUUGCACAAUGGGCGCAAGCCUGAUGCAGCGACGCCGCGUGCGGGAUGGAGGCCUUCGGGUUGUAAACCGCUUUUGAUCGGGAGCAAGCCCUUCGGGGUGAGUGUACCUUUCGAAUAAGCACCGGCUAACUACGUGCCAGCAGCCGCGGUAAUACGUAGGGUGCAAGCGUUAUCCGGAAUUAUUGGGCGUAAAGGGCUCGUAGGCGGUUCGUCGCGUCCGGUGUGAAAGCCCAUCGCUUAACGGUGGGUCUGCGCCGGGUACGGGCGGGCUGGAGUGCGGUAGGGGAGACUGGAAUUCCCGGUGUAACGGUGGAAUGUGUAGAUAUCGGAAAAAAACACCA
rnacentral:rRNA from 1 species